AAUUUCCGCCAUACCACCCUGAACGCGCCCGAUCUCGUCUGAUCUUGGAAGCUAAGCAGGGUUGGGCCUGGUUAGUACUUGGAUGGGAGUUUGUUUUCUUAAUUAUGGUUUCAGAUGAUG
rnacentral:rRNA from 1 species